UUACUUAUAUUUCUUUGACCAUUCAAAUCUCUGGCUCUUGGUCGACCCACAAAAAUCCACCCUUAUAAACCCUAAGCAGACCCAAAAAUGUACAGCUAUAGUCUUAUUUAAAACCCAACAUGGUCAGUUUUGGACAGUGGGUGAUCUGAUUUUGACAUUCACAGUUUCACAUGGAGAUAAUGAAAGCAAUGGAAGUACAAGGGUGAGUUUUACAACAAAGAUAUACAUGAUAAAUUGGAUAAAAAUAUAUAAGCAGAAAGCAAACCAAUUUCAUCAUGUGGUUGGUUCAGCAGAGCAUACUGGUCUGAAUUCAAACUUAUGAGUAAACAAAGAGCAUAUUUUGAAUUGAGGCCAUGCUGUAAAUUGAAUCUUUCUGACUAUUGGGGGCAUGUGCAUGUGAAUCCAAACCUCUAGUUUUUCUAUGUAUCCCCACUUGAUCUAGGUAUAAUCUCAGAGCAGUUCUUAAUACUAUAUCUUUCAAACCACAAUCCCAGUAAAAGAAAUAUACAGGAGAAAUAAUAGAAGAAAGGUGUGGCAUCCAAGCCAUAAACAUGAAGCAUGAGUUCCAAAGCAGUGUUUAACUGUAAAAGAGAGGAAAAGAAUGAGGGAGAGAGAGAGAGAGAGAGAGAUUCUUUAACUAUAUGGUAAAAAUGGGGUUGGGGAUAGAGUUCAAUUAAAGGAACAUUUAACGCCCAGUAUCCAGAAUUGGGCAUACCAUGUGUGGGGAGACAGAUAUCUUGUAUUCACUAUGAUUCACGAGGUUAAAAUGUAUUUGUUUUAGAUGGGAAGGACUAGAAUAUGUGUUUGGGUGGGGCUGCAUAAUGGAGCACCGUACAGGAGCUGCGUCAUCCCGAAGAAAUGAUGGAUCUCAAGGAGGAGAGAGGGAAUUCAAGAACCAGGGGAAGGGAGGGGGGGUAGUACAGAGAGGAAGAAAAUAAUAAGGUCCUAAAUGGGAGCAUCCAAUGUUAUCAUAUGCCCAUGGUACAUGCAGCCAUACAAUCAAACACACAAUUGAAUUCAUCAUAUGGGUGGGGGUGGCCCGGUGGGUCUCUGCUGCUCUCAACACUAAAUCAACACUCUCACCAAGUCCCACUACUCGUCUGCAGCACUGCUCACCACACCAUUAUAAAUACCAGCAAACCUCCCUCCCCACUACAAACCCAGUCUACCCUGGUCAAUCAUCUCUCUCUUUCUCUCUCUCUCUCUCUCUCUCUCUCUCUCUCUCUCUCUCUCUCUCCACUUACUGUGUGUAGUUUCUGCUGAUGCUCAGAGUUUUACAUGGAUGACAAAUGGAAAGCAUCGAAGAAGGAAGGUUCAAGCAGCCGUUCCUCUGCUUCCUCCAGUGCUUCUCUCAUGAGGAGUUGCUCACAAAAGACCACUUGUUCCAAGUCCCCUCUCAUGAGGAGUUUUUCACAAAAGAGCUCUUCCAUCACGAGAAAGUGUAGUAACUUAGCCAAGGAACAGAAGGCCAAGUUUUACAUCAUAAAGCGUUGUGUUAGCAUGCUUGUCUCCUCAAACAAGCAUGGAGAUUCUUGAAGGGAAGGGAAGGGGGCAAGCUAUGUAGGCAGAUCGAGUAAGGAGCAAAUUCUCUCCUCUCCUCUCCUCUCACUCUCCCUAUCCCCCUUCUUCCUUGGUGAUGCCUCCUGGGUUUGUUUGAAAAUCCAGAUAUGCUCUCUGCCAUCCAAUCAAGAAGAGAUCAGUUUCAUAGAUUUUCCUUGUCUUUUUUUUUUUUUUUCCUUUGUGUAUUGUAGAUUUAAACUGUAACUUCAAUUGAGUUGAGCUACAAAGUGUUUCACGUUGUGAGAAGAGAUUAGUAUAAUAUUAUUGAACAGUUUUCAAUCAAACCUCAAUACUAGAAAGAGUUAUUACACUCCUCUUGAUGCGUUUGUUUGAAGGAUGUUGCAUACUAUCAUCCCCAUCUGUUUUCCUAGUCCUAUUCUCUUAUUUUUGUCUGGAUGAGAGACAGAGAGGGAGAGAUUCCCUUAAGCUGUUGGAACUACCAAUAUAAUAGGACAUGAUUAGUAAUUGGAUCUGCAUCGUAAAUGCAUCCCCAUCUGCCCUCUUUUGGAAAAAAGAGGUGAAUCGGGAUCCGUUAAAAAGUGAUAUCAUAGUAUUUAAGGACUGCAGCUAAACCUUAGCUUCAUUAUAAAAUAGGGAAUGGCCCAUCUCCAAUUAUUCUCCCUCCAUUCAUUCCCAACAAGAAGGUAUUGCAACCCACCACAUGAUAGAAUCCCCUUCAUAAUUAACUGUAUCAAGAACCAUCCAGAAUAUCAUGAUUUGGGCCUUCUGAUUUCAAUCAAUCCUUUCAAUGGUGGCAUGUCAAUUUCUAAGAAUCUCCAUCAACACAGGGUAGAUGAUGAAGAUCGGACAAUAGUUCACAAGAACUAGAAAAAAAUAUAACAGUUGUUAAGACAUGUUUAUUCUCCAUCCUCCCACCUCCUACCAGCUCAAGCCUUUCCAACACAACUUCUUAGCCGAGAUUCUUGCUGAUCUAAUACCUAGAAAGACCGGGCCGGACACUAAUGCAUGUAGAAAACCUCAUUAGCCUGGAUUACUAUCGGGAAAGCUCUAGCUAGCCUUCCCCAAUAGAGCUUUUCCAGAAGUUAUUAAUGAGAGCUCUAGUAACUCCAUACAGGGAGGUCUCACUGCUGAGAUCCAUGAACAUCCUUGCUAACCAGAGCUCAAGUUUUUACCAAGACUCACCAAUUCACUUAUGGAAAAUAAUGGACAAGGUUUCUGUAGCCAAGCAAAGCCCCAUCUUGUUUAUCAACCCUCAUCCUUUCUGACCCUUUAGCCUAAACAGUAUAAAGGAUAACCUGAAAAAGGAUUGUUGCGGGUCACUGGUCUGCACAACUUUCCCUUUUCUGAUAUUGGGACAGACCGUAUAGAUAUAAGACCCUAAGGAUGGCACAGACAGAGCUAAAAGAAAAAGAUCAUGAAUUUGAAAAUAUUUUCUCGGUAGAAUUUGGAUCCUCCACCUUCACAUUGAUUGAUUAAUAAGUCUUCUCCACCAAAAUCACCAUCAUUAUCAUAUAGUAAGUGCGUGACCAGACACAUCGUGAUCAUUAAGUUCUUGGCCAUCAUAACGGAAAUCUCAAGGAGAACCUGGUGUGUGAGCUCAAAUCUUUGACCAAGAAAUGGCCACAUUAUUCCUUUUUUUAUAAGCCCCAUCUGGACAGCUCUGUUAGUAAGCCGUUAUCGCUACAAAUAUAGAUAAUAAAUUAACCCCAAAGCUAAACUAUUCUAACCCAACUCAACAUACCUACAUAUGCAUGUAAAAUUGAACCAGAAGCUAAGAAAACUGAAAUCUUACUUUCACAUCCCACAUCCCCCAUAGGCCAUUUUAACAUCCAUCCAUGAAAUUUUAAAAAAGAAAAUAAAGAAAUUGAAUAAAAUGUAAAUAAAUCACCCUCUUGCAGAGCAGACAAAUCAAGAAGAGGGAAACAAAUGAAGUAGGUGAUGGCAUACCUUAGUAAUAAGCCUCUCAAGACUGAGUUUCAUGACCCUACUACAGCUUUUCUUUUAUAUAUAUACAAAUGGCCCACUGCUUGUUUUUAUAUGGAUGGGUUAGCUGGAACCAGAGGUCUGUGACUAGAACAGGGGCAAUGCCGGACGAAAUGAUUCAGCAAGUUAGCUCCGAAACAUAAACCAGAGAGUCCCACCAUCAGACAACUAUUUCCGUAGCCUAACAUGUUACAGCUUCUUCCUCUCUGGCCUGAUUUCCAUGGUCCAAGUAUAGGCCCUGAUCUUCCGCAUACCGGUUGCUUGAAAUUCAUCUGAACUAAUGUAUGCAGUCGUGGCAGUAUUGCAUACACAAUUCAAGUUAUCAUGCUUUUAAAGUAGCACUCAACCCAGGUACGAUUGAUGACAAAAACUCACCAUUCCAUCAGAAAAGGAAAGAACUGAUGAAGAGAAUAAAUAUUUAUAUAUAUAUACUGCAGCAGAAAGAGAAUAAUGACAUGCAGAUACAGUACAUUUUUAUAUCAGAAUAAUUGCAAAAACCAAUAUUCUAUAAAACAGCCUUCUCUUUUGUAGAGAAGACUGGAAUGAAACAGCCUUAGCUGCAUAUCAUCCAAGUACUCCUUUUGCAUGUUCUGCAUUGUCCCUGUAAAUUUCCCAUCCUGAAUGUGACAGCUCAGAGACCACCACCCUUUAUUUCAUGGUCCCCUUGCACUCUUCUUCACUACUUCAUUCUGAUGCAAGCUCUGUACCGUUUUGGGAAAAUGAUGAUCUCUCCAAAUGGACUACCUAAUGCAAAAAAUCAAAAGCCUUAAUGCAAUGUAUUCCAUCAUUGAAUUGAGAAUCCAUUUGGGGCAUGCCCAGUUAAAAUUGCUGAGACCCAACACCUGAAAGUGAACCAGAAGCAUCAAUUUUAAGCGUUCAGUGUAAAAGCUGAUCAAGAAUAAGUUGAAAUCAGACAAAGUCUAACCCCCGGAUAGCAUCACACUGGGUUUUGAUGAAGUACUUGUGAUCAGUUUAAGCUGUGUCAUUCAAGAUCAAUUCCGAGGUUGCAGUGCAAGGGAGUUAUAAUGGGGAAGGGUACUUGAGGGGUUUCGUGGCGGCGACGUGUUCAUUCCCAAAUCCAAACCAUGAUACUUCAUUAUUUUUUCAUAUAUAUAUGGGUGGGGCUAUGCCUCAGCAAAACAAGGCAAUAUUCAAAUCUAUUCCCAACCCUACUUCCGUUUUUAGAAAAAAUUAUAAAUUCAUCCUUAACCCAUUUAUUUUCGUCUCAAGUUCUUGAAUUUUGUAUGAUUGAAAUCAAGCUAAACACUUCGUAAAAUAAUAAUACUGCACACGUUUUGCAGAGAUCAAAGAAGAAUCUAUUAAGUGUGAUAGAAUCAAAUACAUCUCUCCUAAAGUUAUCUACACUCAUAAGCUCCAAAACAAUGAUAAAAUCGAUGUUCAAUAAAUUUGAUGAAGUAAUAAUCUAUAUAACCUAUUCCACUAAGUAUUACUAAUUGUUAUAUCGAAGAAGCUAAGAUAAAUCAUCAAAAUGCGUGGGAACAAAAAUUUGUUAUACAACAAAGAUUUAGAAAACAUUAUACCAUAAUGAAGGCAUUAUUAAAAGACUUUAUUAGUGCGUUGUACUUUUUUUUCCUUCUAUAAUAUUUCAUCCCAUUAAAUUUUAGCGGGAAGGUUGUUAAUGAGAAGUCCUCAAAUCACAACAGUGAUCCAAGGAAUUAUUGUUAAGUAUCUUUUAAGCGUGGAAGUGGAAGUCUAUAUAUGAGAAGACAUUUGGGGUUAGUUAAAAAGACAGAAAAAAAAGGAUCAUCUUUCUACUUCUUUUCUCAUAUCACUCUUAACCAGCCAUUUUUAUUGUUCUCUUUUUCAUUUCACAACAAACAAGGAUCGUUUACAAGCGUUAUUGAUAUUCAAACCAGCUGCAAUGAAACAAAUAGUGGGGAAAACUAAAUUCAUGAGUUCACUAAUCCCAAAUCAUAACAACAGCUAUGACUCCCACCCCAGCAAGCACAGCAAGAAACUUGAAAAAGGGAGUGUCAAAAUAAAGCUGAGUUUGUGGUUUGAAGCCCUUGGCAACGAGAUGGUUGAUGGCAACAUAGAUGAAAACCCCACAAGCAAGACCCAUUGAUAUAGCAUAUAUCCAAUCAGCUGCCUUCCCUUGGGUUGUGGCAUCUAUGGCAAUGCCUAUUCCCACUCCGAUGGGGCUCGAAACCGCAAAGGCAAAAGAAUAGGCCGCAGUUGUCACAAAUGGCCUCUUGGGUUUCAUCCUCAGCAGUGCAAUUCCCAUUGCAAUGGCUGCAAAUAUCUUGUGCAAUGAUAUUGUCCACAGGUUCCUCCAUGCUUCUGCCUUUGUACCUGAAGAACACAAACUUGUUAAGAUGGAAUCGGCUGAAGCUGCUAAACAAACAAUCAAAUCACAACCAAACGCAUGAUAGAUUUUCAGGUUACCAAAAGAAAACCCACAAACACACACACCCCUAUAUGAAUAUCAAAUCAAGAUAAGCCCACAAACAAGCUAGUACUGGGUUAAUCAAAACUACCCAACCUUCAAAAUAUGGCUACCAGUGCUAGGGGGAAGCUCAAACUUGAUCUAUAUGCAAGUGUCAAAUCUUUUGCACCCCAUAACAUAGCUAAGUAAAUGUCAAAGUCUGUUAAAUGACCAAAUUUUUGUGCAUAAAUGAGAGCUUCCAAGGUAACACAUGAUGGUAGCAAGUUGUGUUUUUAAAGAGUUUACCUGAAACCCCGAUGGCAAUGCCCUCAAAAACUGAAUGAAAACACAGAGCAAGGAUGAGAAGCAUGGUGUCCCCAAAAGAUGUUGUCUGCAAGAAUGCUGGGUUGAGACCCACAGGCACCUCUGUCGCACCCUCCUCAGCAGCUUCCACUUUUGCCUCUCUUUCGCUACCCUUGGUAACAAAGAUCACUAUGCAAUCUCCUAACAUGGUGAGAAGAUAACCCGCUGAUGCUAGCAUGAAGGCAAAAGGGUAUGCUUUUGCUGUGAGCUCUUCAAAAGUCUCAUUGGAGUCGCUCAAGAAAUGCAUUAGAGAGGUCCCCAGGAAGACCCCGCCUGCAAACUGCGUGCCCAGCAGAAGAAAGCUCUCAUUCCAUCUAUAGAAGUAAGGGGAAACUCCACCUGCAAAAGUGCUCACGAAGAGGAUUAUUAGACACCAGAUUUUCACCAAAAUUAAACCUCUUUCAUGCAAGUCUUCAUCACCGCUGUUGCCAUGGUCAUCACCUCCAUGAGCGUAGAUAGUGGAGAAUUUUAGAAGCAAAAGUGCUGUGAUUAGCAAGGUUGACUUGAGAGCUUUGGAGGAAGGAACAGAGGCCAUGAAUGGGGUCAUCAAACUCUUCUUUUGGUUUGAAUCAGUUAAUGUUACUAGGACAAAUAGGAGAAGAAAGGGCUAUGAUAAAAUAAAAAGCUAGAUAUCUCUCCCAUUUCUGGUACUUCGCAGUACAGCAUUGACUUUCCAAGAUUGUACUACACAAAAUGGAAUAUCGCUACUAUAAGAAAAUAAUCAUACAAUUAAUACUAAUCAUCCAUCAUUGGGCCAGUGAGGGCGGAAUUUCCAGAGCAACAGCCCAGCCCAAAACUCAUUCAACCCUAGAAAUUUGGACCAGAAGACCCUGAGCUGUAUUACAUCAUAUAGGAGAUAUGACAAAUAACAGCAUAGCAUAAAUUGCAUACUAUGACAAGGGUGAUCAAAGCGAUGACGAAACUAAUGAUGAUGAUGCUGGGUUUUAAUCUGUUAACUUCCAACUUUUUUCUAAAGUAGCAGUGUGUUUUAUUUAAAGCCUGUAGUAUGCCUAAAGGCCAUUUUUGCCCUGAAGUUGUAGUAGAAUUCUCUAAAAUAUAUUUGAGCCUCGUACCAGAAUUGUGCCAGCACCCUCAAAUUUUCUUCUUCUUUUUUUUUUUUUUUUUUUUUUUUUAAGGAAAAAAAAAAAAGUGACAACAGAUAACCUAAGAAUGACAAACACAAAUAAUAAAGGAUGAAAAUGACUGAGGGGCUUGAAAACAAAGGACAAGGGUUAAAAAUGGUAAUCUAACAAAGUUGGUGUGUGCCCAUGAUUUCAUCACAAGAAGCCCAAGCAAAAAUAAACAACUUUUCUAAAGUUUAUACACAUAUAUGCUGCAGCAUUUAUUAUUUUCCAGUAUGAUAGAUGAUUGCAUACACAGAUUGUACUACUUUGAAAGCUAUUAAACCAUUUCUGCAUCAUCUAUUUCACUCUCCCUGCUCUCCUGCCAUCCUGCCCCGACCCUAAAUUUACAGACAGGGCAUGUGCCUUGUUGUCGCAGCCAUGGAUCAAUACAGUUGGCAUGGAACUGAAAAUCAUAAUAGCAGUUACAAAUGUCAAAAUAUAAAACAAAUUGAAUGGCAUACAUAUCAAGAUAAACUUCAUUUCCAACCUAAAGUUAGAUGCAAAGUAAGUGCAAUGAUAAGAUUCAGCAAGAAUUUUGGAGAACAUUCCUAGGAAAAGAGAGGAAGAACAAGCUUCAGGAGAGGCAACACAUGUUCAAAAGUAUGCUGCAGAUGGAUAGAUAGAAAAAGGGGCAUAUAUCAUCCUCAAAUGAUGGAGAAUAAUUCAUUAAUUUUGCAGAGAAUAGAGGAGUAAUUGGCGAAAUUUGACACUCUAGGGUAAAAUUUCAAGAAAGAUUAUUUAAAAAAAAAAAAAAAAAAAAUUGUUUGUAGCAUUUGUGGUAAUUAGCAAAUAGUGCAACAUGUUAUCAAAUUAAGUAAACAAAAAUAUUAAGCAUGAUCAAAGGCUUGAAUAAAAAAAUCCAAUAAUGCAAAUGGGACAUUAAUGUGACAUUCUGAACCAGAUUCAUCAACUUAUAUUAUCACAAAGAAACAGAAUAAAUAAAUAAAUAAUUAGUGGCAUCACAGUAAGAAGAUGAUGAACCUGGUGCAAGCAUGGCAAGCUACGUACAAGCUCUCCCCUGUUGACUUGCUCCAAGCAAAUGCUGCAUGUCAGUUCAUCUUCUGAACCCUUCAUGCUGCUGUCCCCCUUUCUAGAGUCUUGCCUAGCCUUCUCGUCAAACUGGAAGUGAGAAAUUAAAAACAGUACACAAGAGAGUAUCCAUAAUGAUUAAGAAACAGAUGCCCACUUCCUCUCCCAACCUCAAUGCCCACAUCUAUAUCCGCAAACAGACAUGUACAAUCAAAGAUGCUUUGUGAAACAAAAUUAACAAAGGAAGUUUCUCCUAUACUCAGUUCGACAUUUACCCAGAGGGAAUAAACUAGAGAUUAAAUGCAGGCAUGAAUGCUAUAACAGAAGUCCUAUACUCAGUAAGGUAUGGAGUGAGUGGAUGAAAACACUGUUUAUACUUUAUAUAACCUGUCUAGAGGUUCUCUAUUAGAUAAACUGUCCUAACAGCCAAAUGAGCCCUCCACUGAUUAAUAACCAUGAAAUAUAAACCUAUUUUAUGUUAUACCAUCUCCCUCAAGAAAGAAGGGUGGGUUGCAAGGUAGGAGGUUCAAUGAAGAAUUCUGGAAAGGCCAGUUUCUGACAUAUGAAACCUGACACGGAGACUUAAAGGGAUUCCAUGAUCAUAACUUCAUCCAGUCACCAUGUUUAUAAUAAGAACUUUUUAAUGAGGUAUGCAGAACAUGAUUCUUAUAAUAUUGCAACUUUUCUUUUCCUCUGGAUUCUUACUUCUUAGCAACUGAUAGAGUUUUAGGGAUAAUGUAUUACCACCAGAACACCAGUAACUUGUCAUUGCCUUAUUAUCACUCUCCAUGUUCUUAUUGGUCAUGCAAUCAUACCUAAGAGAACAAAAGAAGAAUACCUCAGCUGAGGCUGAAGAAGAUGCAGCCUGUUGCAUUGAUGACCCCUCACUGUUAACAAAUUCAAAAUCAUAUCAAAUCAAUAGAAUUCCCAUUAAAAAAAAAAAGUGAUUUCUCAUCAAACCCCACAAUACUCCUAGAGAACUUCAAAAAAAUUGAAAAUAAUAAUUCUUGAUACAUCACAUAAAUUUGCAAGAAAAUAGACUACCAAUACAAAUCCUCUCAAGUUACCUUUGUGGACCAGUGACCUUAUACUUGUGAACAGGUAAAGCAUUGAUCUCUUCCUCACUCAGUGAAGUUGAGGAAGUAUUAUCAGAAUCUAGUGAUCUCAAGGUUUCAUAAUCUGUGGCAGAAUGAAUAAUUCAUGAUAAGUGCAAUUUCAAAAUAAACCUCAGCUAGAACCUUCUGAUAAUUUCUAAAGAAAUGCACGAAUUCAACUUCAAGUUUGAAGCAUGGCAUAUGUUGCACAAUAAUUGACUUGACCAUACCCAGGUCAUCAAAUUCGCGAUCAAGAAGUGCAAGCUGGAGUCGCAAUCCUUGUAAUCGCCCUCUAGUUGCAAAAGCUAUUGAUGGUGGCAUACGCAAACGCAAUUCAGUAUGACCAAGUAGGCCACUGGCAGCUGCAGCAUGAGCUUGGGCAUGAGCUUGUAGUUGUUGACAAGUUGCAUACAUCCUCAAGCUCGUGGCCAUAAAAAAGAACCCCACAACUAGCCAGAGCUACACAUAUAGAUUUACAUGAAUACCUCUUCAAUUGCUAUUUAACAAAUUAUGCUUCAGAAUUUUCAGAAAGACUAACAUGCCCACAUUAGAUGCCAGUGAGAAAAUACCAGAAAGUUUGGUGACAUCUGAUGAGAGUUCAAAAUCAUAAACAGCAAAAGCACUGCCGAGCAAACAGAUAAGGAAUGGAUUAGAAAUGAGCACAACUAGAAUAGUAAACAAUGGAGAUAGAGCAAAUAGAUUGGAAACAUUACCUGUGACAAGAAAAGCCAGUGAAUUAGUGUUAACUGGCCGAGCUGGAUGAAGACGCUGAUAGAAAUAGGGAGAAGAAUUGGCAUCACAAUGGAUUAUGUCUACCAUUGCAUAAUCUCAAAUAUAUAAUCACUGACAUUGGAAAACACAGUACAAUAAGACAUAUAUAUGCAUGUGAGAGGAAACGCACCACUGCAGGUCUCUGAGGAAUAAAUCCUGGAAGUCCACUUUCUAUAUCUGCUCGAGACCCACGAAAAACAAAACUCAUGGUCGCAGGAGUGACCGCAAACCUCCUUACCUAAAAGAAUCAAAUGAUAGGGGAACACAAAGUAUAUUAGUUAUAAAUAUGCUAUCCACACCUUCGAGAAUCUGUAAAAGCUUUGAAGCUUAUAAAUUACUCAGCUAAAUUCAAGCAUAACCAACCCCAUAUAACGGCAAUUAAGGUUUUGCUUAUCCUCACACAGGAAGUACGACCCAAAAUAAUAAUAAUAAUAAUAAUAAUAAUAAACGAUAUUAAAAUGAUCAGAUCACAAAGCAAGAAGCCGCAAUCCCUUAUCUUCAAAAUGUUCAUGCCAACCAUAUGUGCUAAAUGAAACCUUGAUCUCCCACUCUCCAAUCAAUAUAGUUAAAUUAAAAUGAACUAAACUCAUCAUCUAGAAGCAGUAGUCAACUUUAAUUCUUAUUAAAGAAUUCUAGAUCUGUUUACACUUUCAAAGCAUCAUUUUCCACCACAUUGCAAAACCAUUGCAUAAAAAAUCCCAGACCUACAGCAUUACUUCGAAACAAGGUCAAAACCGCUCCUUUAGAGCUACAAUUUUAAUUAACAGCUACAAUUGCAACAUUCAACAAACACACAAUUUCCCCAUAUUUUGCCAGGAGAGGAAGAAUCCAGUAAAACCCUAAUCAGUAUCCCUCCUAAAAAUUUCUCCAGAACCAGCGAUUAAUACACCCAAAAUCACGACCACACCUCAACACCACUGAUGGACAACGACAACUACUUCUACUAGCGCUAGUACAUCUCCAAACACCGAUUCCAACAACACAAGAUCCACAUUGUCCCGAUUCUUCUUACAAAAACAUUCACAUCGGAAAUCCACACAACAACAUCGAAACAAACCUCCGUUUGGCCGCCGAGAAACAGAAGGAAAAGCAGAAAAAACCUGGAACCAUGGGAGAGUGAAUUCCAGUUUUCAAGAUUCCGAAUUUUGCAUCUCUUUUCCCUGAGAUUUCUCGACAACCAAAGAGAAUCUAAAGAAAAAAAAAAAAAAAAAAGCGUUGCACGAAACCUGAAAUCACUGGAAUUCGCAGAAUGGGGGACAGAUUCAUUUGCGGGUGAAUUCCCUGUGUUUCCUGCAGUUGCAGUGUAUUGUUUAUGGUAGAUUUACUUGGAGGCCUUUCUGGGAAAUGCCACGACACGUGGACUUGCAUGUCACCGGACCGCUGCCACGACAUCGAACAGCAUGUCAUGAGUGAACCGCACAGCACUUUGGGAUUUGGACCAUCUGCAGUCGCUUCUCUGAUCGAUAGUCGCAAAAAGGAAAGUGGGAUUUCAAUUUCAGCAUGUGGGGUGGGCCUUCCACCUAAAUCAUUAUUAAUCAUUUUAAAUUUUAUAUUUAUGAAUUAUGUUCGUAUUUAUAAUUAUUUACCAUAUGAAAUUGGUAUCAUUAUUUUUUUUUGGUUUAAAGGCAUUGUGAUUUGUCAAUUGUCAAUGUCAAAUUUCUGAUUUCAGAUAAAAGGUCGGUAGAAGGGGACGAAACCGCCUCCCACCUCCAUAAUCACAGACGCAUUAGCCUCCAACUCCAAGCAUAGGCUUCCAACACGUUACUAACAGUGAGGUGGACCUUGGCCACAGAGUGCCUGAGAUAUUAUUUGGUAUGGGAAUCCCAAGGAUUCGAGUCAUAUGGCUUCCAUUCGGACAUGUUUGCUGGGAACUCAACUAUUGGGUAAUGAUUAUUCGAUUUUUGGGACCGACCAAACAAGUUCCAGGGCAUCUCUCUCAACUCGGCAUGGUGUGGCAUUGAAGGGAAAAAAGAAAUUGAUUAUGGUCAGAAAAUCAAUAUUUGAAAUGGGUGGACUCAAAGUACUGAAAUUGCUUACUAAGGAAUCAGCGUAUAAAAUGAAAUACACCCAUUGGGUAUGGGAUUCGCAUGCUUCACAAUUUCGUACACGGCCAUGCGAGCUGCUCAAUGUCCUCUUCAAGCAAGACACCCAAUCGGGAAUAAAAGCCUUUUGGGCGAUCUAGCAUGGACCUUGUUCGCCAUUGUUGGGUCAAAUCGCUGUUUCGAGUGAUUUGUAAGCAUCAAACACUUGAACACGGGGGUAUGAACUUGAGAACUUGAUCAACUAGAAAGUUGUUCGAAGAUGGAAAUGGUGCCUCAAGUAGAGCGUCAGGUUGCUGCUGGGGAGCUGCUUUUGAAGGUAAUGGUCAAUUCCUGGACGGGUAAAAAGGGUACUUCAGGGUUUAGGGUUUUAGGUACCACACAGAUGUUUGUAUAGGACUUCUUGACGCUUGCUUUCUGUUCACUUCUUUUUGGCUAUUUGCGAACCGCCUAAUUGGAGAAAUUGCCCUGGAAAGAGGCCUCUCUACAUCCCACCCACAAGGCACAUGACUAAAGGCUAAAGCUGAGUGAUUUCUUCGCAAACACCAAACACAGAAGCCAUCAGAUGGGAAAACAAAAGCUUCUCCUUAGUCCCAAAAGGAGAAGCAAAAAACCAGAACCAACAAAGCUGCAACUCCAAUCACAUCAUUUACGAAUCUUUGUCAUGUUUUGAUUUAGAGGAGAAUAAAAUAGGCCAACAUUCCACCAUAUCCCACUUUCACCCAUAUUAUACCAACCCCAAACCCCAUAAUCUGAACCAUCGCCAGAAAUUCAGGAGGUUUUGAAGUGCACAUUUAAGUCGUGGCAGAAGCCAGUUGCUUUAGUAAAAGGGCCAGACAUGGAUGACAAAUAAGGAUGAGAGAGAGAUGUGAGAGAAGAUGAAAACUUGAUGAAAUGAAUACAAGGAAAAGAAUUUCUGACGAUAACUGGAGAUUGGAAUAGAAGCUAAAAACAAAUUACAAAAUUUUUUGUUUUGGUAGGAACACAAAUUACAAAAUUAAGCAAGUAACGAAUGCUUUCUUAAAGCUUUUAUGCCAUUAGAUCCGCUACCAAGGCAAACCCAUUUUCCUCACUUCCCAAAGCUUUGCUGCAAACCUUUCCUUCUUCUCCUGCCAAUUCUUAAUCCUUGAAAACCAAUAACGCCCAACCAUUUAUGUAGCAAAUGUAAGACCCCUUGAAAAGGAAAAAGAAAAAGCUAUUUACAGUGAUCCCAUCCAGAUUGCGAAACAAAAAAAAAACUGAAAUUUCUUAUAUUUUCAUUCCCAAAUUCACCAUCUUGAAUUUCCACUUUGAUCUUCCAGUACCCAAGCUCUGCUCCUCCUCCGAACGUAUCUACUGAAAACCGAACUUGAGUGACUGUGACUUCUGGUAAUGGACCCAGGUUCUGAAGUUGAACGAGAAGAUGAUGAGGAAGAAGACCUAAACCUCCCUAAAAAUGAGAAAAUGUUGCGAAAAGCUCUGCCCAGUGAUCCGCCGCUCUCUCUGGAUCGGCUUCGUCUGGAUGCCCAUGAAAUCCUCCUUGGAGCACCACUAUUAUUGAACCCACCAUCCAUUUCUGUGUACACCACAGGAAGCUCACGCUCGCCGGCUCUUCUUCCUCCGGAAAACCUCCCCACGGCAAACCCACCGCCAGGAAGCCUCCAUAUGGUCAGCCCCACUGUCUCUUCUUCGUUUGGUGCCGGAGAAAGUGCUUCAUUUCCAGAUACCGGCGAGUUCCUUGUUCCGGGAACGUCCGUCGGCAACUCGUGGCGGCAAACAGGGCAUGAAUUGCGGAGAGAUAGCCAUGGGAGAAUACAAUCGGAAUGAUAGAUAUGCUUACAGGGCAUUUCGCGAGCCUCCGAACCCAGCUGGAACGCCUCUUUGCAUACCGCACAGUGCAACUCUGUGACGAUGUGGCUAGACACGAUCUCGAUCGUCGGCAUCGACUCCACGGCCGCCUUUGACGCCGGAGGGUGCUCGCCGCGCCCAAAACCAUUGAUUUCAAUCUGCGAAAGCUGUUCCAGCAACCGAUCAAACCCCGACCCCAUCAAGAACUCCGACAUGGUCGCCGGCAACGGCCGAAGCCCGGACCCUGCCCCGUCAUCGUAGUACAAUUCAAAACUACUCCUCUCCACAACACCACCUUCACCACCACCUCCAUCAGCCGGACCGCGGAGCACAAUAACUGGAUUAAACGGAGACCGAUCACCGGCGUUCCUCCUGCUCCGCCGCAACCCUAGAUUCGCACUUUGCUCCGAAUCCGGCCGGUUGUUCCCCAGCAUGUACAUCGCAGUCGCCGGAAACCGACGGUGGUGAUUCUCCGAUCUCGGCGUGGCCUCAAUCUCCUCCAAGAAGCCACUCUCGCAGUACGGACACACGAUGCUAUCUUGAGCCCAAACUCUAACGAAACGAGUGCAUCUGUGACACCAAUAAGACGUCGUCGAAGCCAUCUCCAUACCAGAAACCCCACCAAAAGAGAUCGAUCCUUUUUCAGAUCCUCGGUUACCUGAACAAUUCACAACCCGAGUUGACUCUUCCAAAGAUCCCAAGAAUUGACUCAACAGAUCUGAGCCAAGAAGCCCCAACUCGCCGGAAACGACCCAGAUCCGACGGCUCAGAAAGAGCGAAACUUUGAGGGAAGAGAGGAGAGAGAGUACGAAGAAUACAAAGAAGAAGAAGACGAAGCUGAGGCUUUUAAGACUCGUCGUGGAGGGUUAACGGCGUAGUCUUGACGCGUGAGGCUGAGAAAGCGAUUAGACGGACGUUCCCUACGUGGCGGCCAUCGAUUGGAUGGACAUUGACGGCGUGAGUGGAGCGUGGAAGUGGACUGGUCAGCGGUGCGAGCACAUGGUAAUAUUUGAGAUAAAUUAUAUGAGGAAAAAGAAUCGGGGCGACUCCCGCGUCCAACUUGAAUCGUGGCUGGCGACGGGGGCAGACGUUGACUUGAAGGCGAAAUGUGGUGUUCAAAAUGCCGACUUUGAAAUUCAAAUCAUCGCCGUUUCGUGGUGAAAAAGAUUCCCAACCGAGGCUGAAGCCGGCUGACACUCGCCUUCUAAUUAAUAACAUCGGAAUACGACUGAAACGAAGGAAAAGAGGAGCAUCCUUCUCAUUUUGAUGUCUUGUACAAAAAAAUAAUUGCAGGCUGAUGUGUGAGAUGGGUCUCAUUCAAUAAAUGUACGGUACAAGAAAUUGAUUUUCUAUACCUAUGUGAUUUGGAGGAACUGGUUAUUAAUUUCACUUGUUUGGCAUAGUUAUUCUUAUGCUAUAAAUUUAAACCUAAAGUUUAAAUUGAUAAGGAAUAAACCGAUUAUGUUUAUUAAUUUCACUCUAAUUAUUGUGCGAGCGAAAAUUUUAAUGCAAAUAAUAUUAGUUUACUAAUACAAACAUAAAAUAAUAAUAAAAACAUACCCACGAGAUUUUAAUUUUAACAUGAUUCGUAUCUACAUCCCUGAAUGACAGAAAAUCUUUCUAUCAUACCAUAAAGAAUAUUAUAAAAAGUAAAACUAAAUAGAUUUCCAUAAAUAUCUUUUGUUUUUUAACUUUCUUUUUACAUCACCCAAAGUUUCAAUAUAUUUUAAAAAAUACAUGAAAGUGUCGUGAAUAACAACACCCUAAUCACAAUCCCUCUCAAAUAAAUGUUAUUGUAAAAAAAAACUUUAUAUUUGAUUCGAAAGCAUUUUAGUAAAUAAUAUAUAGUUGAUAGGACAUAAGUCACGAUGUCUUGUAACUAUUAACUUUUAUUUUUAAUAACAAAAGGAAUAAAAUGAUGAAUAUUCUUACCCUAUGUUUGGGAAUUAUUAUGACUUAAUUAAAGAAUAAUUAGGUUUUUGACAUCACCUAUGAAUAACAAAAGUAAGGACUUUCCUAUUCCUUGAAAAUAUAGGUAAAAGAUAUGAAAUAAAAUGUGUAGUCAACAUUUGACAAACCUCUCACAAUAUCUUAAGAGUUGUCUUCGACAUUCAAAUCUUGUUACCUAAUCUUGAUAAGUAUGGGAAAGGCAUGUUAAACAAGAUGGGGAAGAAAAUAAAGAAAUUGAAAAAUUAAAACUUUAAAUUUCUGUGGCCUAAGGCUGCAUUAUGGAACACUUUCCCUUUUCCCAUCUGGUUUAAGGUGGUAGGGUACACUUGACUUGCUUGAAAAACAAAACAGUAUCAAAUUUGCAAGAGAGCCAUCCAAAUGGAAGAUGGGCUACAAGUCAAAAACAAAAGAGAAAAUGACAAGGCAAUGGUAUUUUCUACAACAAAAAGUUUUACCAUCACGCCAAGAAAAAAGUUUGUAUAGUAUGAGUUGCACUUAAGUAUCUCCACAUGUUUUUAUAGUUACGUGUACAUAUUAGAAUGAAUAGUAUUUAUAUAAUUAAGAAUCAAUUAUUAUAAAUAAUAUUAAAAUCGAUCAUUAAUCCUGGGUCUUGUUUGACGCUGAAAAAAAUAUAUUUAUUUAUUUGAUUUCACAAUUUUAUAAGACACGAUAAAGACAUUAUUAUUAUAUAGAACGAAUAUGAUAUUUUACAUCGGAUUGAAAAAAGUGUUCCUAACACAAUAUCUAAACAAUUGAAAAUGGAUAGUUUCAAAUAUGGAGAUAACAAAGAAUGGAGCUUCCCUUAUUAGAUGCUUCCAUAUUUUUUAAAAUAAAAGUUUAUAUUGGAAUUUGUAUUAUUUUUAACAUUUUUUUAAAAUUUUAUUUAUAAUGCUUUAUUUUUAAUCAUUUGAAUUACUUUUUAAAAAACUUUGAAAACACAAAUUUCGAAAUUCCAUUUUCUAAAAAGAAAAAUUACCAAACAUGUUUCCAACUAUGGAAAAAAAAUUGAAAACAGUUGGGAAAGGCUCUGUUAUAUCUCCCUUCUCCCACCCCCCAUUUAGAAGUAGCUAAAAGUACAAAUUGUGUUUACUCUUGACCUUGGGGGACAGACCCAAAAGAAAGAGAUCAUUGGUUGCCCACUCCUCUCUGUUUCCACCACCCCUUUCAUUUCUAAUAAACAGCAUGGUCCAUAAGUUUCUGUUGAAGUGCACGCUAGAAAAGUACCCUUUAACUCCCACAUGGCCCCUUUCUUUUGGUACAUUUCUUAGGUAAAAGGGAGUUGCUUGUUUUUAUAGCCAUGUAAAGUUCAGUGUGCAUCAUUAGGUAAUAGUAUUUUUCAGUUCUUGCUUCAUCUUCAUAGUUUUUCUUUUUAAUUUCCUUUUUUUUUUUUUUUUUGGUUGCAAUGAGUAAUUUGAAAGAUUUGGGAAGGAAGAUGAAUGUUUAGUGGACUAAAGCUUUCACUCUCUGCAAUAUCCCACUUUAAUAAUGAGUGUAAGGUGGAAGUUAGAGUCAUGAGGUUUCUUUAUGAAGGCUGAGCUAGUCACCACACAAAUUCAUGGAAAAGGAAAUGAAAAAGGGAGGAAACUAGAAAGAAAGCUUUCGAUAAAGAGAUGGUAAUGGGAAUCUCAAACCUUUUCCAAUACCAUUUUGUCUCAAUUUUAAUGGCUAUGCUUUUCGUCUCUCCCUCUCUUAGUAUUUUACCCAAUCAAAGUUUCUUUCCCAAAGAAUAAUAACCUGCAAGAAAAGCUAUAUACUUGUGGUGUUCUUGUGAUAGAAAUGUCCAAAACCCAAAAAAAAAAGCAGAAAACCCACUUCAUAACAGGCCAGAAAUGAGAUAACAUUCAUGUUGUUUGCUGUCAUUUUCUUCUAUAGACCAUCACUACAACGUAUUGUAAGGGAAAAUCAACAAAAAUGGGGUCCUGCUUUGUGUUGUGCCAUUUUCUGGGUCCAAUAGAGUAUAUGGAAAGGUGAGGAAUAUACCUUUGCUCAUUCCUUGGUUAGAAAUAGCUAGCAAGGAACAAGAUCACCUUUCCCUGAAAGCACAAAAAUAUCAAAAUAUUGUAGUGGUGCUUGGAUGAAAUGCUGUGAAAAAUACCCAAUCUUUUAACCAUAGAAGGUAUUGGUGCUGUGGUCCAAUGCUACUUGCAUUAUGCAUUAUAUAGAAGGUUGCAAAGUAGAUGUAUUGUUUGAACAUUUUUGCCACUGAGUGGAGUGGUGGUUCCCCUCAUGCCAGCCUUGCACCUUGCCUCACCAAAAAGAAGUUUUCUAGUGCAGCUCAUUCGGACUCUAUCAGUUAAUCACAAACCUACUUUUAGCUAUAGAGAAUUUAUGAACCCCACUCCAAUUUUGCACUAUUUCUUAUCAAGUGUUGGUUGAUGAGCAUAGCAUAAAGUAUUGCAAAGAAUUUUAUGAUUCAUAGGAAAAUUCUAAUAGCUUUAAAACAUGUUUACAUAAUUAAAAGGGGUUCAUUACCGAUGUACCAGACAUGGGAUGUCAUAUUCUUUAUAGUGUACGACAACAUCAGAAUAGUAAUGAGGACGGGAAAUGCAUGUAAAAUCUCUUAAGUAGCCAUUGAUACAUGUUCUUGGCCUACGGAUUGGGUGGGUUCCUGAGUAGCCAUUCAUUGCUGACAAUAAUGUUGGCUUGGUUGCCCCAUGACUGAAACUUCACUUUCAGCAUUGAUCAAAGUUCUGUAUACUACACGUCUAUGAAACAUAGCCAAUCUCUCUCAACAUGCUCCGGAUUUGUCCAAGCUUCCCUUCUAGGCCAAACAUCAAGGACCUCAUGGAGAAACCCAAGAAACUUUGCUACCGAAAUUUCACUUUCAGCAUUAUCAUAAAGAUGUGAACAUACCUUAUAGGAGAUCAAACCAAUCUAAUUUGUAAAAUUAUUCCUCUACUUUUUUUUUAUCUUAAAAAUAUCCAUUUUGAACAAGAAUAUUCUUAAUUUUUUUUCUAAUAAAAAUAAUCUUUUCAUUUAAAAACACAUGUAAAUAAUUAUAAUUUUGAGGGGUAUUAAUGUCAAAAUGGGUUGUUUUUUAAGUUAAAAAAUUGAAAGAGAUUAGUUUUAUUUACAAAGCCACCAAGCUUGAUAUAAGGGAGAAUUCAAAUAUCCUAAGUUAUGUUUGGUUUCCAAAAAAUUUGAAGAAAAAUGCAAGAAAGAAAAAUACAAAGAAAAUAAAAAAUAGAUUAAAAGUUGAUAAAUUAUUUUUUUUGUUACUUCAAACUCAUUUUAUUUAUUUUAACUCAUCAAUAUAAAGAUUAAAUAAUUUAAAAAUACAUAAAAUUUUAAUUAGUUUUAAUCAUAUUCGAUUUUCUUUGAUAUUUUUCAUAGGACAACCAAAUAUGAAAAAAAUUAUUGCAUUUUUUUUUCUUUCCUUUAAAGCUAUGUUUGGUUCUAGAAAAAUUUGAAGGAAAAUGCAAAGGAAAGAAAAUAGAGAGAAAAAGUAAAAGGAAAGAAAAAGGAAGGAAAAUAAAAAAUAGAGUUAAAUAUGAAAAAUUAUUUUUAUUUGAUACUUCAAACUUAUUUUAUUUAUUUUAACUCAUCAAUAUAAAGAUUAAAUAAUUUUAAAAUAUAUAAAUUUCUAACUAAUUUUAAUCAUAUUUAAUUUUUUAAAAAAAUAUUUUAUAGGAGAACCAAACAUGAGAAAAUCGCUUUUCUUAAUAUUUUUUUUUCUAUCUUUUAUAUUUUCCGGAACCAAACAUAACAUAAAUGUCAUAAAAAAAAAUUGAGCUUAAAGUCCGCAAGAUGGAUAUUUGAAUUGGGCUUGGAUUUUAGUGGGUUCCUUCCAUUUCAUACGUGUAUGCACAACAGCAUUGAGAUACUUGCAUGUUCUUAAGUGGCAACUCACCAAUAGUGACAUGUAGCCAAAAAAUUGUAACCGAAAAUAAAGCAAAGCUGGGGUUGACUGUUGCCUUGCUCCCUUUCACAUAUGGUGCCAAAUGCUACCAUCAUCAGCUGCUCACGAGAAACUACAUUUUCUUCAACAAAAGACGCCACCAGUCAGCCAUGAAAGUCUCUACCAAGUUCCAAGCCGCACCCACCCCCACCUACAGGUUUGGUUUCAAGGACUAUGAUUUAUAAUAUGUAGUGUUUAAUCAUACCUAACUCCUAAGACUAUUAUUUAGCUUGGGUUUUGGACCAAAUAGCAUUGAGAACUAAUUAUUUAUUGCCGGUUGUGUUCAGGGAAUCCGAUAAUAGUGAAGCUAAAACUAUCAUUAAUUUAGGUUUUGGACCAGUGGCAUUGAGAAUUAUAAAUCCUAUGAUUUUAAGAAGCAUUUUCUUUUUUUCUUUUUUGUCUAAAAAGUGUUUUAAAAAAAAUUAGGUGUUUAACAAAUUUUUAAAAAUAUUUUUAAAAAUCUGAAAAAUCAUCUAUAGUGUUAAAAAAUCACUUAGAAUCCAUUUGGUAGUGAUUCUAAAAAACGUUUAUAACAUUUCUAAUACUUAAAAGAUAAAAAAUUUUAUGUGUUAGAAAUACUAAAAAUACUUUCUAAAAUCACUACUAAACACACUCUUAUAAUGUUUUUUAAAAAGCACUUGAUACUCAUAAAAAUACUUUCGAAAAAAACACCAUUAAACACACUUUAAGUUAUUUUAAAAUAGUAUAAAUAAUUUUUCAGAUCUUUAAAAAUGUUCAUAAAUUUUGUUAAACAUUUAUUUAAAAAAAAAUUUAAACUUAAAACAUUUUCUAAAAUCAUUAUCAAACGGAUUGUUAACGGGUUAUAGCCGAUUAGGUCAGAGGAAAUGUGAGAAGCAACAAAAAGAAAAAUAAAAAAGAAAAAAAAAAUAAAGAGGGAAAAAAACCACUUGCAUAAUGCGAAUAAAGAUUGUUGAUGUCCAACUAGUUUUUUAAAAUUUUGUAGAUGAUUAGUAUUUGGAUUUAUAAUAUUUAUUAUCAUUUUCAACAAAAAGUGAUUUUUAUUUAAUAAUAAUUUUAAAUUUACAAUUUUUUAUAAAAAUUUACUAUGAAAAAAGAAAACCAUGGAUUUAUUUAAAAUAAAUUUUGUUAUUUAGUUCAAUCUUAUUCACGUAAAAGUAAAUCUCACUCAUUUUUGGAUUUGCCACAAGUAAAAAACCAUGGUUUUUGCAUUAAAAAAGUUUUUAAAAGUUAUUUAGGUGUGCAGAACCAGAAAACCUAAAAAUUUCAAAAAAUGUUGUUAUUCUACCCUAGUUCCAAGAACUCUCAAAAUCAAGAUUUCGGUUAAUAAAGCUUAAAAUCACUUUUAGAGAGGAAAGAUAGAUGUCAAACAUUCUAAGUAACCAAGUGGUCAAGUCUUAACAUAUUUUUAAGGUGAUUCACUAAGGAGUGAAGAGAUCCAUGUCACACAUGAAGAAUAUAUAUAAGUAAUGUAAAAUUAUGUAUGAUUCCUUUAAAUUUGGUGGAUUUUUAUUUAUUUAUUUAUUUAUUUUAAUGGUGGAUAGACAUGUUUUGUAUUUAUGGAGGUUAGAAUAAUCUCCACAAGUGAUUUUCUAUAUAUAUAUAUAUUUUGUUUUGGAUGCAAUUGGAUUUGUUAUGGAUUAUUAGGAUUCAUAGAAUUUCUCAAUACAAAUUUUAGAAUUGAAUCCAAAUAGUUACAAAGGGGGAUAAUUGAUUUAAUUUAAUCAAUCUAAAAUAAGUUUAUAUCAUUAAUUUAAAAUAUUCUAAUUGGGCAUAAAAUAAAGUAUUAAUUCACUUUCUUAAAAUAGCUCCUUGAUUCUAGAAAACGGACUUACAAAUAGUAUCAAUGCUAGUUAAAAUUUUCAAAUAAUAUUUUUUAAUAUUUUUUUUUAUUCCUGCUAUAAUUCUUGGAUCAUGGAAUCAUUAAGAAUUAGAUCAUUCAAGCUAUAUUUGGAUCUCGAGAAUAAUUUUUUGUAUUUUAGAAUAAAAAAUGAAAAUAAAAAUUAUUUAUUAAUCAUUUCUUUGUAAAAUUGCUUUGAAAAACAAUGUUUUAUGAUAACAUAUUUUAAUGGUUUUCAAUUGUUUUGGGGGAAGUGUUUUAAAAAAUAAUUGCACAAAUAUAAAAAAAAUGAUUGAAAAUAGAACAUUACAAAUAAAAGUUACUCCAUAACAAUAUUUUAAAACACAAAAAAUAAGUUAAAAAUAUCACGAGUUUCUAAACUGACAUUUAUUCAAAACACUUAUCAAACAAACCCUUGUUAAUUAUCCAUCAUUUUUUUUAUGGCAACAACGACCCAUUAGAAAGAACAUAUGAAAUUCUUGAAAUUGGAGGCAAAUUAGUUUGGAAUGUAAUGAAAUUUUGGUGGCUAAUUACCACUAAUUACAUUUCAAUUGAUUUCUUAAAUGAAUUGAAUGUACGAAAGUUGAUCACUCAAAUAUUCAAAGCCUAUAAUAUUAUUCAAAUAAUCAAUUGAAUGAGAAUGUCAUUUACUUAUACGUAGAUUUUGUUUAAUAAUGAUUUUAAGAAGUGUUUUUAAAAUUUUUAAUAUUUAAAAGGUAAAAAUUUUAAAGUGUUAAAAAUACUAAAAACGCUUUUAAGAAUCACUAUCAAACAUGCUCUUAGAGAUUUUUCAAUCAACUUUCAAUUGAGUAUCUUAUUUGAGAGAUUGAAAAUUAAAUUGAUGAAAUUUUGAGAAAUUUUAUUAAAUCAAUGCCCUUGUUCAUCAUAAAUUCUAAAUUAUCUUAAAUCCUACAAUAAUUCUAUUCAUCCCCUCUACUACACCAUUGAUAAAGACUAUGGAAUUAGAACGUGGGCUUUCUUCUAUACAUAUCUAGAAUUCCUCCAUGGCUAAGAAUGGAUAUGAGUUGAGGCAGAGAAUAUAAGAGAUAAUGUAAACAAAUGGGUGCACGUGACUCACCAUUAAUUCACAUAAAAGGAGAAGACGUAGAGCAUAUGAGGGCAAUGGAGGAGAGUGGAAGAGCACAUGAGUCCCUUUCUUCUUUUCUAAUAUUAACUCAUCUUUUCUCACUGACAUAAAAUCUUUUCCAAACUUAAUUGGAUUUCCUAAUUUUGGAAUCCAAUUCCAACCCACUUUUCUUCAAGGGCGAAGUCACUUUCCCAUGGAUUGGAACUCGGCUUUAUUGAGGAAGUAUGGCCUCCAACCAAUUCUCCCUUUGUCUCCCCAUUUGGUUAGUCUUUUAGCCUUCAAUUUGUUUUGUCAUUUCCACUUUUCUUUUUUUCUUUUCAAUUAUUUUCCAUCACAUCAAGAAAGUUAAUAUAGUAAGAAUUCAUAUACUAUGACAAGUGUCCCAUGCAAAUAUCCCAAAUUUUUAAUUAAUAAAGAUUUCAAAGGAUAUUGUAUGAAAUAUAUUUUUAAGUUUAUGUAUAAUUAUAAUAUUAGAUUUUAUUAUAACAUAUGAAAAAUGAUGGAAAAUAUCGUUAUAAAUAUUAUAGGUUGUAAAGGAAAAAAGUUAUUAUACGAGAUGACUUGUAGAAACUAUACGAGGUGAACGAAGAGGAAAAAAUAACAUAAAAAACCCGAUAAAGUGAGAGGGGUUUGUAACAGGGUAUGGAGACAAGAAGUAAAUAAAAAUGAGAUAUUUCGAGAACUUAACAAUUGUAUUCGGUUAUGUCCUUUAUAGCAUUUUCUAUUGUAUAGUGGAAAAAUUAUUUCUCAUCUGACAGUAUAAGUAUAGUUGUUAGUUCGAACUACAUUACAAUCUUGUGUAUUUUUUUAUUGAUUAUUUUAUUUUUGUAUUCUUGAUUUAACAUUAUUUGCAUUAAAACUUUUGUUGACACAAUAAUAUUAAAAUUGAUUUUUGACCUUAAUACAAAGUUUGGAGUUUCAUUGAGCAUCUAUUUAUACAUUUUAAAGUUGUAAGGAUUUAUUCAAUCACGAUUUCCAAUAUAUAUAUUUUGAAUGUUUUAUAGAGUUGAAUAAUAAUUUAAAUUUGGUUCAUGAAAUGAAGAAUUGGUAGAGGUUGUAUUUAAAAGAAAAUUUAUUUUUUAUAUAUGAAAUAAAUAAUCAUAAUGGAUACAUUUCAGAUUCAAUACAACUCAUGACUCUUAAAACAAAAUCUUAUUUAGACAAAAAAAAACUAAAAAAAAAUAUAAUUACAAAAACAGAAGUUGGGUUUAUGUGGCUAAAAUCAGAUAUGGAAGAUAAGAAAUAAAAUAAAAUAAAAAGGAGAGUGGAAAAAAAAAGGAGAGUUAAAAGAUAAAUUUACCACAGAGUUAACGGUCGACUUUUACUGUGCAAAUGAAUCUAAAGUGAUGACGUGGCAGUCAGUUUUUUGGAACACGAGGAAAACAAACAUCAUUAAUAUCUGCAAUUUUUUCAACAUCAGUCGGUUUUCACUUAGUCAGUUGCCACCUAUUUUUUUGGAAUAUUUCCAAUUAAUUAUUAGAAAAUUAAAAAUAAUUAACAAUUAAUCACAAGUUUUUGAGGUGUAUAAAAGAAAAAUAAGAAACCCCCCCCCCCAAAAAAAAAAAACAAAAUCCCAAAAAGAAAAAUCCAUUACUGUAUUUAAUUGUUGAUGAGGAACAAAACCCUAAGGGGUUCUUGUAAGAACAAAUCGCCGCCGGAUUGAUCUCAACCGUCAAUACCGCUCCUCUUCUUCUUGAUCUCAGCUCACUGUCUUUUUUGGGUUUUUGUUUUUCUGGUUUCUCGCAACGACUUUCUUACACUGCCGUUGUUUUUGUUGUCGAGGUUGAAGGAAAGUGGAAAAAUAUGUUGUGGGGAAUUUGUUUGGGUAAUUCAUGAGACGGAGUUCGCGGGAGGAUGGUUUGUUUUGGGUUGUGGUUUCGUGUUUUGAUCGAGGGGGGGUUUCGGUUUUAGGGUCCGAAGUGGUGAAGUGGAGUUGAAAAAAUUGGUUUUUGGUUAUAAAGUCUUGGUUUUUUGUUAUCCGUUUGGAAGAGGAGAUUCUGAGGUUGUAAGCAUGGGUUUUAGGUGUUUGGGAGCAUGGCUGUUGGUUCUGGAAGCUUUUUAGGGUUUAGGGUUUGGUUUUGGUUUGUUGGAUGAUCAAUUGGAGCCGGUGAAAAUGUUGUCUGAAUUGGGGAGGAGGCCGAUGCUCAAAAACGGUGACGGAUCGUUUGGGGAUGAUUUGGAGAAGGAUAUAGGGUUGUUGCUUCGUGAGCAGCGGCGUCAAGAGGCGGAUGAUUAUGAAAAGGAGCUAAAUUUGUAUAGAAGUGGGUCUGCUCCGCCAACUGUUGAGGGUUCUAUGAAUGCAGUUGGGGGUUUGUUCGGUGGUGGAGCUGCCUUUCCGGGAUUUCCAGAUGAUGGGAAUGGGAAUGGGUUCGCGUCUGAGGAGGAGCUUAGGUCUGAUCCAGCUUACCUUUCUUAUUACUAUUCAAAUGUGAAUUUGAACCCACGGCUCCCACCUCCAUUGCUUUCCAAGGAGGAUUGGAGGUUUGCUCAAAGACUGAAAGGAGGGAGUUCUGGAUUGGGAGGGAUUGGAGAUAGAAGGAAAAUGAAUAGAAAUGAUAGUGGUAGUGUUGGUAGAUCGAUGUAUUCGAUGCCACCAGGGUUUAAUUCGCGGAAAGAAGAGACUGAGGCAGACUCAGAGAAACUUUGCGGUUCAGCAGAGUGGGGUGGCGAUGGACUCAUCGGGUUGUCAGGGUUAGGACUAGGGAGCAAACAGAAGAGUCUUGCAGAAAUUUUUCAGGUGAGUUUCUUCUGUGGUUUUGCUGCUUAUAUGGUUUAUGUCCACUUCUUACUUACCAUACUGUUUCUGAAUAUCCAAGGUUGAGAUCUUCUGAUUACAAUGUAGAUUAUCACUUUUUGAUCGGUGCUAGUUUGACUAUCCAAGGAAAAAUUUGCCCUUGUUGCGGCAUUUAUGGUUUCCUGUUGAUAUUUGACAUAUAUCAUAUUGUAUCUCUAUGGGGAAUCAUCAGAAUAAAGGUUGUGGUAUGUCAUGUGCUUUAAAGGGAUAAUUUGUAUUGUCAUGUUUCCAAUGAUUGUGGUUUGAGUAUAAUUCCCUUCCUUGGAUUGUCUAUUUUGACGGUUAUUGUACUGGCAAUCUUUGCCAUGUAACAAAUUGCAUCUAUAUGGGAAGUUUGAGUCAUCUUUUUAAAAUCUUGUUUGACACGUGUUUUGAACGGAUGAUUAUGUGCUCCCUCUGUACAUGUCAAGAUUAUGAGUUUUUGUUUACAUAGUUUUGUUAUAAGGGGCGGACAUGUAAACUAUAUAGAGAAGUUUGUGUCAUCAGAUUAAAGAUCUAGGUUUGACACGUGUUUUGUAGGGAAAAUGAUAUUCUCUCACUCUCUUUGCUGAUGAUGAUAAUUUUUUAUGUUUCAUGUCAAUUUGAAUCCUUUAUGUUGAUUUCUUGUUCAUGUAGUUUUGUCUCUUAUAGGGUUUGGGCAUGUGACAAAUUGCAUCUAUAUAGAGAACUUUGGGUUGUCAAAUUAUGCUAUGGUUGGCACAUGUUUUGAAGGAAAAAUGAUAAUUGGCUCCCUGUUCUUUCCCUGGACUAUUACACCUUCAUAUAGUUAAUUUGAAUCAUUUAUGCUGAUGUCUUGUUCUUGUAGGUUUGUUUCUUAUAAAGGCUGGAUUAGUUAAUCUAUAUUUAGCAUAGCUUGGGAAAUAAUAAAGUAUUUGUCAUAGUUGUUACAGGUCCGCUUAAAGCGCGCCUAGGCUUAAGGUGCAAUCAUUCUCUAGCUAUAACGCUUCACCUACUAAUAGGCGCACCUUGUUGGAGAGGCUUUCUUCGUUGUUUCCUUUUUCUUUCUAUAAUAUUGUAUUCUUGAAAUUUCUGACAGUAUAUUUAAGCUUUAUGUGUAGGGUCUUGUUGAGGAGUGCUGUUUUUUGUUAGUCCCUCUUUGUUUUUUUGGUUGUGCUUUAGGCCCCCUUUGUAUGCUCCCUGUGUUCUUUGGGGCGCUUUUGGCAUUUCUCUUUUUAAUACAUGUUUUUUCUUUACCUAUCAAAAAAAAA
rnacentral:lncRNA from 1 species